rnacentral:rRNA from 1 species
UAACGCGUGGGUAACCUGCCUCAUACAGGGGGAUAACAGUUAGAAAUGACUGCUAAUACCGCAUAAGCGCACAGUGCUGCAUGGCACAGUGUGAAAAACUCCGGUGGUAUGAGAUGGACCCGCGUCUGAUUAGCUGGUUGGCGGGGUAACGGCCUACCAAGGCGACGAUCAGUAGCCGACCUGAGAGGGUGACCGGCCACAUUGGGACUGAGACACGGCCCAG